AGCGAACGCUGGCGGCAAGCCUAACACAUGCAAGUCGAACGAACUCUUCGGAGUUAGUGGCGGACGGGUGAGUAACACGUGGGAACGUGCCUUUUGGUUCGGAAUAACUCAGGGAAACUUGUGCUAAUACCGAAUGUGCCCUUCGGGGGAAAGAUUUAUCGCCAUUAGAGCGGCCCGCGUCUGAUUAGCUAGUUGGUGAGGUAACGGCUCACCAAGGCGACGAUCAGUAGCUGGUCUGAGAGGAUGACCAGCCACACUGGGACUGAGACACGGCCCAGACUCCUACGGGAGGCAGCAGUGGGGAAUCUUGCGCAAUGGGCGAAAGCCUGACGCAGCCAUGCCGCGUGAAUGAUGAAGGUCUUAGGAUUGUAAAAUUCUUUCACCGGGGACGAUAAUGACGGUACCCGGAGAAGAAGCCCCGGCUAACUUCGUG
rnacentral:rRNA from 1 species